rnacentral:rRNA from 1 species
UGUUUAAAGUUUAAUCUCUAAUUUUGUUGUAGUAUGAUUUUUUUUUUUUUUGUUUUUGAUUUUGGGUAAAAUCUUGAUUUAUUAUUGUGUUUUGUCAUGCUAGUAAGUUUUGGGUUUCGAAUUAGAUUAGUACCUAAGUAGUCAAAGGUAAUGUUUUCAGUAGUAGAGUAAUGUUUAAACUGAAAGAAUAUUGGCAGAUUGUCUAAAUUAUCUUUGGAGGUUGAGUGGUAAUUGAGAGCCCUCGUUAACUACUUUUUUUUUUGGCUCAUGUAUGAUCGUUUAUUUUAUGCUUGAGGCUUAAAAUGAAAUUUUUUUUUAUGUAAAAAUAGAUAUAUAUAUGGUUUAUAAGAUAGUUAUAUUUGACCUACAUUAUUGUAUAUUUUGGAUUAUAGAUUUAGUGYCUAUAUGAAAUUGUAAAAGACAGUAAAAAAAUCUUUAUGUUUUUUUGAAGAUUAUUUAGAAAUGGUACAAAUCAUCCAUCAAUUGCCUAAA